rnacentral:rRNA from 1 species
ACGCUGGCGGCAGGCCUAACACAUGCAAGUCGAGCGGUAGAGAGAAGCUUGCUUCUCUUGAGAGCGGCGGACGGGUGAGUAAUGCCUAGGAAUCUGCCUGGUAGUGGGGGAUAACGUUCGGAAACGGACGCUAAUACCGCAUACGUCCUACGGGAGAAAGCAGGGGACCUUCGGGCCUUGCGCUAUCAGAUGAGCCUAGGUCGGAUUAGCUAGUUGGUGGGGUAAUGGCUCACCAAGGCGACGAUCCGUAACUGGUCUGAGAGGAUGAUCAGUCACACUGGAACUGAGACACGGUCCAGACUCCUACGGGAGGCAGCAGUGGGGAAUAUUGGACAAUGGGCGAAAGCCUGAUCCAGCCAUGCCGCGUGUGUGAAGAAGGUCUUCGGACUGUAAAGCACUUUAAGUUGGGAGGAAGGGUUGUAGAUUAAUACUCUGCAAUUUUGACGUUACCGACAGAAUAAGCACCGGCUAACUCUGUGCCAGCAGCCGCGGUAAUACAGAGGGUGCAAGCGUUAAUCGGAAUUACUGGGCGUAAAGCGCGCGUAGGUGGUUAGUUAAGUUGGAUGUGAAAUCCCCGGGCUCAACCUGGGAACUGCAUUCAAAACUGACUGACUAGAGUAUGGUAGAGGGUGGUGGAAUUUCCUGUGUAGCGGUGAAAUGCGUAGAUAUAGGAAGGAACACCAGUGGCGAAGGCGACCACCUGGACUGAUACUGACACUGAGGUGCGAAAGCGUGGGGAGCAAAC